rnacentral:misc_RNA from 1 species
AAGUCGUAACAAGGUUUCCGUAGGUGAACCUGCGGAAGGAUCAUUAUCGAUUCCAAUUCGCUGUGCGCUUCGGCUGCACGCGAGUUGACACUUCACACACCUGUGCACUUCGGUUGGGGUCAAACCCUUCCGCCUUAUACCUUACACUAGUAAACCUGAAUGUCUAAUACUAUAAACAAAUAUAACUUUUAACAACGGAUCUCUUGGCUCUC